rnacentral:rRNA from 1 species
GAUGAACGCUGGCGGCGUGCCUAAUACAUGCAAGUCGAGCGGAAAGGCCUCUUCGGAGGUACUCGAGCGGCGGACGGCAGAGUAACGCGUAGGAACAUACCCCAAACUGAGGGAUAACUGCCCGAAAGGGUGGCUAAUACCGCAUGUGAUCUUCGGAUUAAAGCUUCGGCGGUUUGGGAAUGGCCUGCGUUCGAUUAGCUAGUUGGUGAGGUAAAGGCUCACCAAGGCGACGAUCGAUAACUGGUCUGAGAGGAUGAUCAGUCUGACUGGAACUGAGACACGGUCCAGACUCCUACGGGAGGCAGCAGUAGGGAAGUUUUCCUACAAUGGGCGAAAGACCUGAUGGAGCAACG